UACAGAGGGUGCGAGCGUUGUUCGGAAUUACUGGGCGUAAAGAGCGUGUAGGCGGUCUAGCAAGUCAGAUGUGAAAGCCCGGGGCCUAACUCCGGAAGUGCAUUUGAAACUGCUAGGCUUGAGUGAUGUAGAGGUUGGCGGAAUACCCAGUGUAGAGGUGAAAUUCGUAGAUAUUGGGUAGAACACCGGUGGCGAAGGCGGCCAACUGGGCAUUAACUGACGCUGAGACGCGAAAGCGUGGGGAGCAACAGG
rnacentral:rRNA from 1 species